rnacentral:rRNA from 1 species
GCAAGUCGAACGCUAUCUUUGAUAGAGUGGCGCACGGGUGAGUAACGCGUGGGAACCUACCUUUCUCUGCGGGACAACGGUUGGAAACGACCGCUAAUACCGCAUACGCCCUACGGGGGAAAGGUCAGCCGGAGAAAGAGGGGCCCGCGUUUGAUUAGCUUGUUGGUAGGGUAAUGGCCUACCAAGACUAUGAUCAAUAGCUGAUUUGAGAGGAUGAUC